rnacentral:lncRNA from 1 species
AUGAGCCACACACCCGAAUGAGCACAGAGCCAAGAACUCUGGAACUUGUUAAAAUAAGAAGAAUCCUCAGCAUCAACGCAAGUGUUAGAAAAUGCCUCACAGAAAAGAAAUCCAGUCACACUGGUGAAAGAGCGACGUUGACGGCUUAAAGAUACAAUUUGGUUCUGGAUAAAAAUAAAUAUACAUUUGUUUUUUGUAAAGUGCUUCUUGGUUAGAUUCGGCUUCAAAAUAUUUGCAUUUUUCAGAGGUGGUAACUGGGGAAACUGUAACACUGCUCAAAAAUCAUUUCCUACAUGCCUGCUCCACAGCGCAGACUGCCAUUCCUCCCAGCGCGAAUGCCGUGAAACGCUUCACGUCCUCCGAUCUCGCCCUGUAUCCUUUCUCUCUGUAAGAUGAAAAUGGGAAAAGUGUAUAUUUUUUUCAAACACUUUCUCCGUUUCCCCAGUUGCCAUCUCUGAAAAAUUCGAACUGUUUGAAGAUAGAAAAAAGAUGAGCAUGUUUUUAGAAGGCAUUUAAUUGCCUAGCACUAACCUACCUGGCCUCGGCUCCUUUGUGUGUGUGAUGUGUGUAAGUGUGUGUAUGUGUGUGUGCAGGGGAAAGUAAGGGGGCGGGGCAGGGGGAGGAGUGAGGGGCGGGGAAUCACUGCGAUUGCGGGGGGCUUCCUAGUGGCGAGGACCUUCCUCCAGCACCCCGGGUCUGGCGUGAGAUCCCUCCGGACCUCCAGCUGAAGCCCGCCAGCGCGCGCGGCCGGGAGCGAGGAUGGAGAGGCUGGUGUUCAGGAGGCUCUUCUGUCAUCUGUUCUCCUGCAAACUGAUCUGGUUCUUGUCAGCUCUGAUACUAUGCGAGGCACAAGGUAAAGAUACUCCAUUGCCCUGCUUGGAAUCCAGGAAACACAAUUUCUAGAGUGGAGCCAUUUGGCCACUAUUGUUUGUGCUGU